GACGGGGGGUCCUAGCGUUGUUCGGAAUCAUUGGGCGUAAAGCGUGUGCAGGUGGUUUGGAAAGUUGGAUGUGAAAGCCUUGGGCUUAACCCAAGAAGUGCAUUCAAAACUCCCAAACUUGAGUAGGGAAGAGGGUCGUGGAAUUCCAGGUGUAGUGGUGAAAUACGUAGAUAUCUGGAGGAACACCGGUGGCGAAGGCGGCGACCUGGUCCUAUACUGACACUCAUACACGAAAGCGUGGGGAUCAAACAGGAUUAGAUACCCGGGUAGU
rnacentral:rRNA from 1 species